rnacentral:rRNA from 1 species
UACGAAGGGGGCUAGCGUUGUUCGGAAUUACUGGGCGUAAAGCGUGCGCAGGCGGUCUUCCAAGUCAGUGGUGAAAGCCCGGAGCUCAACUCCGGAAUUGCCAUUGAAACUGUGAGACUUGAGGACGAGAGAGGUGAGUGGAAUUCCCAGUGUAGAGGUGAAAUUCGUAGAUAUUGGGAAGAACACCGGUGGCGAAGGCGGCUCACUGGACCAUAACUGACGCUGAUGCACGAAAGCUAGGGGAGCAAACAGG